rnacentral:SRP_RNA from 1 species
GCUGGGUGUGGUGGCGGGCGCCUGUAAUCCCAGCCACUUGGGAGGCUGAGGCAGGAGAAUCACUUGAACCUGGGAGGCGGAGGUUGCAGUGAGCGGAGAUCGUGCCAUUGCACUCCAGCCUGGGUGACAGAGUGAGACUCUGUCUCAA